rnacentral:lncRNA from 1 species
GCUUUGGCUCGCGCACAGUGCGCGCACCCACUGGCCUGCGCCCACUGUCUGGCACUCCCUAGUGAGAUGAUCCCGGUACCUCAGAUGGAAAUGCAGAAAUCACCCGUCUUCUGCGUCGCUCACGCUGGGAGCUGUAGACCGGAGCUGUUCCUAUUCGGCCAUCUUGGCUCCUCCCGAUUUUUUAAGCAGAAUUUUUCUUUUCUUAUUGUUGAGUUUUAAGUAUUCUUUGUAUAUUUUGGAGAACAGUCUUUUAACAGAUUUCUUUGUAGUCAAUUAGGACUGCCCAUUAAAGUGGCAGAAUAAGCACAGUGCCUGCUGCUAUGAUGUGAUGGGCCGUGGGAAACACUUUUCGCCUAAAAUCACCUCCUGCAAUGGCCUACUUAAGGCAUUUGAUUCACCUAUGUUAACAAGGGGCUUGUACGUCUCUAUCUUUUGCCAUGGGACAAAGUGCCUUCCUGGAGAAGUUGUUUUUCUCCUAUUGACACCAGGAUUGGCCUAAGGACUUGUGUUGGUCAAGGAAAUGUGAGUUUUAAAGUCAUUAGAAAGUUCUAGCUUAUCUUCUUGCCCUUUCCCUUGGCCUUGAGUUUGGAGAGGCUCCUCUCUAGAUACUGGAAUAAACAAGACACAUGGAAGAGGAACAAAGCUGCCACCAAAAUGUAACCUGCAUUAGAAACAGGCCUUUGUUGUUGAAACUCACUGAAAUUUGAGAAUUGUUUGUUCCUGCAUUU